ACUUUAAGGUUGAGAGACUGCUGGCCCAGGAAGGGCAGAGACUGCAUCUUCUGGAGCAGGGAGGCCGCAGCGUUAUUUACUCUCAUCUGGAUUUGACAGAGCAACUCCCGAAAAGAUCCUAACAAGGCGCCCUUCACACGUUUGGUUGGAGGAAUGGGAACUCUAAUUGAAGCCUGCGUCUGAAUCUAUUGCGAACGGCUCUAGGGAUCCGAAGUUAUGAAACAUCACAAGCCGGAAGAGAGGAGAAAUGAGCAGCCCCUGUUCAGCGAGCAAAGGGAGGCUCCAGAGCGGACCCUGUGCAGACAAAAGAUUCCAACCACAGCGGCUCCCUAGCUCCUAUACUAGAGACGGCACUGCCACCUGCUGGCAAAAAGGAGCUUUGCAAGAAGGCGCUUUCCCAGCUGGCCGGGAUGAAAAACAAAUGUCUAAUCCCAGGAGACUGGACUCAGGUGGGAGCCCCAGAGAUGAGGGCAUGAUCAAUGGAAAAUACUGGUGGAUGAUUCUGGGAUUCUAGCGCUAUAAAAACUCAUUUCAGAUUCCUGGUUUUAAAUAGCAGCUGCACACUGAUUAACUUCUCAGGCUGCCAUUUUCUGGUCCAGGAAACUUCUAUUCUAGUUGUGUUUCUGUUGUAAUAAAAUACUCAACAAAAAGCAACUUAGGAAGGAAACACUCACUUGGUUUAAGAUUCUGGGUUCCACUAUUGAGGGGAGGUGAAGGCAGGAACGUUAAUCACUGUAUCCACAGCCAAGAGCAGGAGAGAAUAAACACACAGGUUCUUGCUCGAUUGCUCCCAGCUAGCUUUCUUCUCUUACAUGGUCAUGGCCCCAGCCUAGGGGAUGGUGACACCCACAAUGGACUGUGUCUUCUUACAUCAGUUAAUAAUCGAGACAAUCCCCCAGAUGCAUGCCCACAGGCCAAUAUCUAGAUAUUGCCUCAUUAAUUUCUCAUGUGAUUCCAUUUUGUGUCAAGCUGACAAUUAAGCAGCAACAACAAGAAGCCUGGAGUAAAGGACUCAUUUCUAUCACACAGAAGAAAUCCAGACCAGAGACUAUGUGUAAGUGGAGACCCUCGUUAUUCCCACACUGCAAGCUUUUAUACAUGCUGCAAGUAAAAGCCUGGGCCAUGAGGUGGCUCAAUGACAAUGUCUCCCAUAU